rnacentral:rRNA from 1 species
UACGUAGGGUGCGAGCGUUAAUCGGAAUUACUGGGCGUAAAGCGUGCGCAGGCGGUUAUAUAAGACAGUUGUGAAAUCCCCGGGCUCAACCUGGGGAUUGCAUCUGUGACUGUAUAGCUAGAGUACGGUAGAGGGGGAUGGUAUUCCGCGUGUAGCAGUGAAAUGCGUAGAUAUGCGGAGGAACACCGAUGGCGAAGGCAAUCCCCUGGACCUGUACUGACGCUCAUGCACGAAAGCGUGGGGAGCAAACAGG